CGCGGCUGAGGUCCCGCGGUCGUGUCCCAGGAGCCUGGGCUUCUGUGGCUCCGCGGCUCCGCGGCGCACGCCCCCUGUAGCGCGGGCUCCGCGGUCCCGGGCCCUCGCUGACCUCCGCAGCCGCGACGUCCACCGUUUCCUCCUGCGAGCGCGUAAACCCAAAUCGACCCGGGCCUGCGUCCUGGCCCGCGACCCACGCGGCUCUAGAGGAUUCAGGGGCGGGGGGAGGCGGACGGAGCUCGCUCACGACACGAUUCCGCACGGAUUGGUUUCGUGACCCUGACCACUCCCGGCCUUAACCUCCUCAGCAUUACACUGGGGAUAAUAACCCUUGCCGGGCUCGCCCGCUGGGUUGUAGUGGCACCAUAUAUUCCAGUGGGGGAAGGAGAGGGGUUGGCAGAGACUGGGGUGGAAGCUGGGGGUAAUUCAGGCCUCGGUGAAGGGUGCUCGUGGACGCGUAGGAUCCGCGGAGCACGCCAUGCUUCGGAUAGGUGGGAACCACGAGGCUCCGGGUGGGCACACGUGACGUCUUUGGGGCUUGUCGGCGGUACUGCCCUCGUUGGGCCUGGGGCGGAGCAGCCUCGCGGGGUACCUCCCGCAGGCUCGGGUCCGGCCCGCGCUCUGUACUCGGCUCGGCGCCUACCCCUCCACUUCGCCUAAGGCAGCAACUUUGGGAGACUGCAGAAUCUCGGGCCCGAGCAGGAGCUAAGCGCCCACGGAACCCAGGCUGAAACGGAAGCCCCUCUAGGUUGUCCAGAUAUGCGGACGCGAUGGAGGUAACUCUGGGUCGCCCCCAGAGGUAACCCCCAGAGGAGUCUUCAGAGAUAGUCUCUAAAGGAAGAAGUCUUCCAACGCUUUAUAAAACUAUAAAACCAUCUGGAAAAGGAAGCAUCCACAUGGAUGGAGACAAUUGAAAAUAAAAGCUACACAGCAUUUAAGGGCACUUGUACUUUUGGGCCUCAGAGCAAAUGAAAAUGCGGAAGUAUGGACUUGAAGACCUGCCAGUACAGUUAUAUGAGCAAGUUCUCUGAGCUCACUUACCCUUCCUACUUGCCUGAAGUGGGUUAAAUUUCUGGACACAGAAGAGGAUGUUGGUGAAGGAGAGUUUGUGAAGAACCUUUUCACCAGCAGAAGUAGCGGCAGGGGCAGGGCAGACACUUGGAGAAAUAGAGAAGCCUGUAAAGUGUGUUUAAAGGAAAGCAAAUCCAUUCACAUCUUAACUGUUGAGCCCUGGAUAAUUACUUCAGCAUCUGAAAUGUGAGUCACAUAGGAAAUUGAUAACUGAGCCCCCCCUAUCAAAUCAUCUGAAAACUACUGGUAUGAACAAUCACUAAAGCUAAACUUUUGAAGAAAAAUUCAACAAUAACUCUGAAUUGAUCUUUCGAGAACUUGGUCAGAUCAGUAAAGAGUGACCAUCGAUUCAAAUGAGAG